UACGGAGGGUGCAAGCGUUAAUCGGAAUUACUGGGCGUAAAGCGCACGCAGGCGGUCUGUCAAGUCGGAUGUGAAAUCCCCGGGCUCAACCUGGGAACUGCAUCCGAAACUGGCAGGCUAGAGUCUUGUAGAGGGGGGUAGAAUUCCAGGUGUAGCGGUGAAAUGCGUAGAGAUCUGGAGGAAGACCGGUGGCGAAGGCGGCCCCCUGGACAAAGACUGACGCUCAGGUGCGAAAGCGUGGGGAGCAACCAGGAUUAGAUACCCUGGUAGUCCACGCCGUAAUCGAUGUCGACUUGGAGGUUGUUCCCUUGAGGCGUGGCUUCCGGAGCUAACGCGUUAAGUCGCCCGCCUGGGGAGUACGGCCGCAAGGUUAAA
rnacentral:rRNA from 1 species